GCGCUGGUGGUGUAAUGGCGUAGAGCAUUCCCGCCCGGUCAGAGGGAGGUGGGGGUUCGAGUCCCGCCUGGCGCU
rfam:Heligmosomoides polygyrus genome assembly, scaffold: HPBE_scaffold0004179